GCUGAACUUAAGCAUAUCAAUAAGCGGAGGAAAAGAAACUAACAAGGAUUCCCCUAGUAACGGCGAGCGAAGCGGGAAGAGCUCAAAUUUGAAGACUGGACUCCGGUGUCCGCGUUGUAAUCUCGAGACGUGUUUUCCGUGCGGCUCUAUGGACAAGUCCCUUGGAAUAGGGCAUCGUAGAGGGUGAGAAUCCCGUACUUGCCAUGGAAGAACCGUGCUUUGCGAUACACGCUCUAAGAGUCGAGUUGUUUGGGAUUGCAGCUCAAAAUGGGUGGUAGACUCCAUCUAAAGCUAAAUAUCGGGGAGAGACCGAUAGCGAACAAGUACCGUGAGGGAAAGAUGAAAAGCACUUUGGAAAGAGAGUUAAAAGUACGUGAAAUUGUCGAAAGGGAAGCACUUGAAGUCAGCCACGAUGCUUGAGACUCAGCCUGGCCUUUGGGCUUGGUGUAUUUCUCGGUGGCAAGCCAGCAUUGGUUUGGGUCGUCGGAGAAGCGCAUAGGGAAUGUAGCGUUUCCGGACGUGUUAUAGCCUUAUGCAGGAUACGACGACCUGGAUCAAGGAACGCAGUGUGCCUCUGGGCGGGUCUUCGGACACCUUCACACUUAGGAUGCUGGCGUAAUGGCUU
rnacentral:rRNA from 1 species